rnacentral:rRNA from 1 species
AGAUGGCGCAAGGCGCACGGGUGCGUAACACGUGGGUAAUCUGCCCUUCGAAGGGGAAUAACUCGCCGAAAGGCGAGCUAAUUCCGCAUAACAUUCCGAGAACCUUGGUUUUUGGAUUCAAAGGCGUAAGUCGUCGGAGGAGGAGCCCGCGCACGAUUAGCUAGUUGGUAGGGUAACGGCCUACCAAGGCUAUGAUCGUUAGCUGGUCUGAGAGGAUGGCCACCCACACUGGAACUGAGACACGGUCCAGACUCCUACGGGAGGCAGCAGUGGGGAAUCUUGCACAAUGGGCGAAAGCCUGAUGCAGCGACGCCGCGUGGGGGAUGAAGCUUCUCGGAGUGUAAACCCCUUUCGACCCGGACGAAUGCCCCGCA